rnacentral:rRNA from 2 species
UGGGGAAUUUUGGACAAUGGGCGAAAGCCUGAUCCAGCAAUGCCGCGUGUGUGAAGAAGGCCUUCGGGUUGUAAAGCACUUUUGUCCGGAAAGAAAUGGCUCUGGUUAAUACCUGGGGUCGAUGACGGUACCGGAAGAAUAAGGACCGGCUAACUACGUGCCAGCAGCCGCGGUAAUACGUAGGGUCCAAGCGUUAAUCGGAAUUACUGGGCGUAAAGCGUGCGCAGGCGGUUGUGCAAGACCGAUGUGAAAUCCCCGAGCUUAACUUGGGAAUUGCAUUGGUGACUGCACGGCUAGAGUGUGUCAGAGGGGGGUAGAAUUCCACGUGUAGCAGUGAAAUGCGUAGAGAUGUGGAGGAAUACCGAUGGCGAAGGCAGCCCCCUGGGAUAACACUGACGCUCAUGCACGAAAGCGUGGGAGCAAACAGG